GACCAAUAUUACAGCAAAGUAGAGAACAUGGAUACAUGCAUGCAACGCCAAUCUUUGAGUAUCAUCAUUCAUCAGUCAUGAACUCAUGAUCAGAUUUCAUAUUUAGAUCCUAUUGGAUAUGAGAAUGAAAAUUGUCAUCAACUUGUUGAGUGAUGACAUGUGAUGAAGAUAAGAGGGCAUUUGGUCUAGUGGUUUGAUUCUCGCUUUGGGUGCGAGAGGUCCUGAGUUCGAUUUGCUGAGUGCCCCUUUUGAAGGUUAAGAGUUUAACUUUUUCAAUAUUUUAGUUUAAUACAGGAAGCUCGGUGUUUUUUAUUUAUUGUUGAAGAUCUGGAAGCUGACAAGGUUGACUUAUUAAUUGGUUAGUUAAAAUACCCAUAAACAUCAGUUUUUAAGCCUCAAAGAUGAAUGCUGUGAUACAUGUAUAAUGUAUUAGUAUCCAGAUUUUUGUCCUAAUGUGAUAAAGUCUCCAUUUAAAAUUACAAUUGACAAAUAGUUUCUUUUAUAAUCAUGUGAAAAAGUUGCAUUGUUGUCUGAGAUGAAGUGUUGAGUAAAAAGCCAACACAAAAAAGAUUGUGGUCCAUGAGGAUGCUGCAAUGGAUGAGGGGAAAUACUAGACGAGGAAGGAUCCCUAACAAAAAAAAAAGAUGAAGAUGGGAAUAGGAAUAAUAAUACCAUUAAAGAGAGAGAAUUGGGGUAGCGAAUUAGCACCUAUUGUAUAUACGAUGCUUAAAUCUAGAUUUAGGUGGUUUGGACAUGUGUGGAGGAAAUCUAUAAAUUCUGUAAUAAGGAGAAUAAAUCAUAUGGAUGGUGCCCAAUUGCUAGAUGUAGAGAAAAACCAUGAAAAACUAUUAACAAAACUAUUAACAAAUGCUUAGAGGUCCAUAUUUUGCCUAUAUAUAUUUAGGCAAAAGAACAUUCAAAUCAAACUAUGUAUAAUUUUAUUGUAAAUUAAGCUUUUGUCUCACUAACAGAUUCACAAACAAUAACUUUGCAUGUCAGGGCAUUUGGUCUAGUGGUAUGAUUCUCGCUUUGGGUGCGAGAGGUCCCGAGUUCGAUUCUCGGAAUGCCCCUUUUUGAAGGUUAGGAGUUUAACUUUUCAAUACUUUUUAAUCAAAUACAAAUAAAAUAAGUAUCAGUGUUUUUUAUUUAUUGUUCAAGAUCUGGUAGCUGACAAAGUUGACUUAUUAAUUGGUUAGUUAAAUACCCAUAAGCAUCAGUCUUUAUACAUUUAGUUUUUUCUUUUGUUUUGUUUUGAAUCUAUACUUACUAAGAUUCGGAAGCAGUGUUGGCUGAAAAACAUGUUGGUAAGAUUGUGGUGAGUCAUAGUUUAUCAAACUUUGUCUUUAAAGAUAAAUCCAUAAUUGAUACUGAAUGGUAAAUAAGCAUGUAGAUUCUCUGAUAAUUCUUAUGGUAAACCAAAUUAUCCUGAGUUGUUUGUUUAGCUAAACCCUGCCAUGAUAACCACUCAACGUGCAUUGUUGGGUCUCUGUCUUAAUGAUCUUAAAUUUCAUGACAUGAUCUAUAGUUUUGAUCACUAGUGAAACUAUAAUUAAUCUUAUAGAUUGGUUUCCGCCACAGAAGCUGCUAGUUCAUGUCUCCUCUUCUCUGCAAGUUUAGAGAAGUUGAAAAUAUGUUAUGAGACCUCUCAGAUAUCUGUGGAGAUAGGUUGAAAAUAUGUUAUGAAACCUCUCAGAUAUCUAUGAACACAAGUUUAAGGCAGUCUCUGGAUAGCAGAUCAAAUCCAAUCCAGAACAAGUGACUCUCACAUCAUUUGCAUCUGGAGAUCUCAAUUUCAAGGAGGAAUUAAAUCUAACAUCUUUUUACAAUUUCGUAGUUCUGUCCGGCUAACUUUUGACUGGGUAGGAAUGCUGAAUUUGCCAUCAAGAUUGCAUUUUAGUUAGCUACUCUGACUUUGUUGAAUUUUAUUUUUGUAUUGGAUGGAUUACAAAACGAGUUCUCAGCUAAUGUAAUGGAAGCAUAAUAUAUUAAAAAAAUUAAUUAUGUAGCAAUGUUCUGUACUUGUGUUUUAUUAGAUUAGAUAUAUUGUUAGUAGUAAUAUCUGGUUUGGA